GGAGGAACGCUGGGAUCGCAAGACCUUGCGCUCAUUGAGCGGCCGAUGCCUGAUUAGCUAGUUGGUGAGGUAAAGGCUUACCAAGGCGACGAUCAGUAGCUGGUCUGAGAGGACGACCAGCCACACUGGGACUGAGACACGGCCCAGACUCCUACGGGAGGCAGCAGUGGGGAAUUUUGGACAAUGGGGGAAACCCUGAUCCAGCCAUGCCGCGUGAGUGAAGAAGGCCUUCGGGUUGUAAAGCUCCUUCAGCCGGAACGAAACAGUCACGGAUAAUACCCGUGACUACUGACGGUACCGGAAGAAGAAGCACCGGCUAACUACGUGCCAGCAGCCGCGGUAGUACGUAGGGUGCGAGCGUUAAUCGGAAUUACUGGGCGUAAAGCGUGCGCAGGCGGUUUUGUAUGUCAGAUGUGAAAUCCCCGGGCUUAACCUGGGAACUGCGUUUGAAACUACAAGGCUAGAAGGG
rnacentral:rRNA from 1 species